UGUCAGAUGGCUCCGAUCGGUCCUAAGGCCGCUGCGUUCAGGUCGCAGUUCCCCUGGAGGCGUGGGUUCGUAAUCCCACUUCUGACAG